rnacentral:rRNA from 1 species
UGCGUAGGUGGUUUCUUAAGUCAGAGGUGAAAGGCUACGGCUCAACCGUAGUAAGCCUUUGAAACUGGGAAACUUGAGUGCAGGAGAGGAGAGUGGAAUUCCUAGUGUAGCGGUGAAAUGCGUAGAUAUUAGGAGGAACACCAGUUGCGAAGGCGGCUCUCUGGACUGUAACUGACACUGAGGCACGAAGGGCGUGGGGGAGCAAACA